AUAGAAAUAUAUCCUCAUACUUUAUACUUUAUGAUGGGACUAUAGAAUUGACUCAUCAUGAUAUAUUGAAUUCAAUAUUAAAUACAAAAACAAACCAUAUAUUUAUUUUAUCGUACUUUCUUACCGCAUAUAAUGCAAUCUCUUCGUAAUUUCAAAUGAAAUCUUAAUGAAUGAACCAUUCCUGAUCUUAAUAUUUCGUUGGAAUGAUUUGCAUUUUGAUUUUUAUUUCUGAAAAGAUCGAAUCCUCAACUUUGUUUCCGAAAGAGACUCAUUAAAAUGCCUUCCUUUUUUCUUUCUCUAAUAAUUAUUUAAAUUCAAAUAAAAAUAUAAAUUUAAAUUGAAUUGUAAAUUUGAAUUUGAAUAAUGGAUUUAAUUUUCCAAUUUUAAUUUUUUAAAGUUUAAAUUUAAAUUCAAAUAUAAGUUUGGUAUUAAAAAUUAUUUUUAGUUUUAAUUUUUGGCUUUAAAUUGAAUUUGAAUAAAAAUUUAAAUUCAAAUUCAAAUUUUAAGUGUUCUAGACCUCAACAUAUGGGUUUACUUGUAGUAUGGAGUAAAUGGUCAGUGUGUCUAUAGAGUGUCGGACCGAACUGAAGCCAUUUUCACGCAAAAUAGAUGUGAAAACAUAUUCGAGACUGAA
rnacentral:lncRNA from 1 species